rnacentral:lncRNA from 1 species
GCCCUAGGUGGUUUCUUUUGUGGGUCCUUAAUCCCUUGAGAACCCUCAAUGAAGGAUACGGGGCCUAAAGUACCAAUGACUGUGGGAGCUGAGGGGCUGAAGUAAGAAGGGGAGAGUCCAUCAGAGUGGAUGGAGGGAUAGAGGAGGGAACUGCAUAGAUAGGCCUAGGAGAAGGUUCAGGAACUUGACCAAAGUUUGGUGAAGAAAAUAAUGUGUCACUGUCAAGGAGAAAUUGUACAACUAGUCUGCAAUAAAGGUUUCUGCACGGGGACCUAUGAGAUUUUAAGAGGAUAACUGUACAUUACAGUAAAGGAAAUAAUCAGGCCUUUGUGAGACUACUGUGAUACUGGCACUGAACUGACACUGUUU